UACGUAGGGGGCUAGCGUUGUCCGGAAUCAUUGGGCGUAAAGAGCGUGUAGGCGGCCCGGUAAGUCCGCUGUGAAAGUCGGGGGCUCAACCCUCGAAUGCCGGUGGAUACUGUCGGGCUAGAGUCCGGAAGAGGCGAGUGGAAUUCCUGGUGUAGCGGUGGAAUGCGCAGAUAUCAGGAGGAACACCAAUAGCGAAGGCAGCGCGCUGGGACGGUACUGACGCUGAGGCGCGAAAGCGUGGGGAGCGAACAGG
rnacentral:rRNA from 1 species